UAUAUUAAGCUAUUAAGAGCAUACAGUGGAUGCCUAGGCACUAGAAGGCGAUGAAAGACAUGCUAGGCUGUGAUAAGCCUCGACGAGCUGCCUAAAAAGCUUUGACUCGGGGAUUUCUGAAUGGGGAAACCUACUCUUUUAAGAGUAUUGUAAGAUGAAUAUAUAGUCUUGCAAGGCGAACGUGGGGAAUUGAAACAUCUUAGUACCCACAGGAAAAUAAAUCAAUUGAGAUUCCGUUAGUAGUGGCGAGCGAACGCGGAUCAGCCUAAACCAACAGGUUUACUUGUUGGGGUUGUGGGGCAAAUAAUGUGAAAUGGAUUGUUUAGUCGAAAGUGUUGAGAAGCGCUACCAUAGUGGGUGUUAGUCCCGUAGACGAAAGGCGAGAAGUUUUUAUUUUGUACCCAAGUAGGGCGGGGCACGUGGAAUCCUGUCUGAAUCUGGGAGGACCAUCUUCCAAGGCUAAAUACUAUCUAGUGACCGAUAGUGAAGAGUACCGUGAGGGAAAGGUGAAAAGAACCCCGGUAAGGGGAGUUAAUAGAUCUGAAACUGUAUGCUUACAAGCAGUCGGAGCGAAAGUGACGGCGUGCCUUUUGCAUAAUGAGCUAGCGAGUUAAUGUAGCGAGCAAGGUUAAGAUGUUUAGCAUCGUAGCCGUAGUGAAAGCGAGCCUUAAUAGGGCGUUUAGUUCGUUGCAUUAGACCCGAAACCCAGUGAUCUAUCCAUGAGCAGGUUGAAGCUGGGGUAAAACCUAGUGGAGGACCGAACCCGUUGUUGUUGAAAAAACUUGGGAUGACUUGUGGAUAGGAGUGAAAGGCUAAUCAAACUGGGUGAUAGCUGGUUCUCCUCGAAAUAUAUAUAGGUAUAGCCUCAUGCGUUUCUUAACAGGGGUAGAGCACUAAAUGGGCUAGGGAUCUUAACAGAUUACCAAACUCAUUUAAACUCCGAAUACUGUUAUAGAUAGCAUGGGAGACAGACUGCGGGAGAGAAGUUUCGUAGUCGAAAGGGAAAGAGCCCAGACCAUCAGCUAAGGUCCCAAAGAAUGUGCUAAGUGGAAAACGUUGUGAAAAUACAAAGACAGCCAGGAGGUUGGCUUAGAAGCAGCCAUCCUUUAAAGAAAGCGUAACAGCUCACUGGUCAAGUGUUUUUGUGCGGAAGAUGUAACGGGGCUAAAGUACAACACCGAAGCUAUGGACUUCGAAUGAAGUGGUAGAGGAGUAUUGUAGUAACCGCUGAAGAUAUGUCGCGAGAUAUGUUGGAGGAACUACAAGAGCAUAUGCUAGCAUAAGUAGCUAUAAAGCAGGUGAGAAGCCUGCUCGCCGGAAGCCCAAGGUUUCCUAGGGAAGGUUUAUCCUCCUAGGGUUAGUCGGUUCCUAAGGUGAGGUCGAAAGGCGUAAUCGAUGGAAAACAGGUUAAUAUUCCUGUACUUGGUAGUGGAGUGAUGUAGGGGUGAAGAAGGGUAGCUAGGCCAGUUAUUGGAUUCUGGUGCAAGCAUGUAGAAAGGCUCUCUAGGAAAAUCCGGAGAGUUAUUUUUGAGGUGUUAUGCGUCACAAGCUAGUGAUCCCAUGCUUACAAGAAAAGCUACUAAACAAUGAAGCUAUUAAGCCGUACCGCAAACCAACACAGGUGGGCGAGGAGAGUAUCCUAAGGCGAUUGGGUUAAAUGAGGUUAAGGAACUCGGCAAAUUGACACUGUAACUUCGGGAUAAGGUGUGCCAGUGAUGUGAAGAGAUUUACUCUCGGAGCAUGAUCUGGUUACAAAAAAGAGGGGGUAGCGACUGUUUAGCAAAAACAUAGCACUAUGCAAAUUUGUAAAAAGACGUAUAUGGUGUGACGCCUGCCCAGUGCUGGAAGGUUAAAAGGAGAGGUCAGCGAAAGCGAAGCUUUGAAUUGAAGCCCCAGUAAACGGCGGCCGUAACUAUAACGGUCCUAAGGUAGCGAAAUUCCUUGUCGGGUAAGUUCCGACCUGCA
rnacentral:rRNA from 1 species